CGCAUCUGUGCAUGCAGCAUAUCAAUAAGCGGAGGAAAAGAAACUAACAAGGAUUCCCUUAGUAACGGCGAGUGAAGCGGGAAGAGCUCAAAUUUGAAAUCUUCAAGGUUUUACCUUGACGAAUUGUAGUUUAAAGAAGUGUUUUCUGUUGAAGUUUUGGUAAAAGUUCUUUGGAAUAGGACAUCAUAGAGGGUGAGAAUCCCGUAUUUGACCAUUAUUUUCAGCUGUGUGAUACACUUUCAAAGAGUCGGAUUGUUUGGGAAUGCAGUCCAAAAUGGGUGGUAAAUUUCAUCUAAAGCUAAAUAUUGGCGAGAGACCGAUAGCGAACAAGUACCGUGAGGGAAAGAUGAAAAGAACUUUGAAAAGAGAGUUAAACAGUACGUGAAAUUGUCAAAAGGGAAGCGUUUGACACCAGUGUUGUUUUCUCGAAAAUCAAUUAAAAAGAGUUAGAUUUUGUUGUGUAUUGACCUUAACAGCUUGCAUUUCAAUUUUCUUGCUUUUUUUAAUGCACUUUUCGUUUAACAAGUCAACAUCAGUUUCUUUUGUUGUAAAAAGGUCAUUGGAAGGUGGCUUUCUUUUCGGAGAAAGUGUUUAUAGCCAUUGACUCCUGCAAUCGGAGAGACUGAGGUCUGCAGCGUAGAUCCUUCGGGGUUAGAUACAUUUGUGCUAAGUUAUAGCUUUUUAUAGACAACUUGUUGACUAUGAUUAGUCUUGUAGCUUACUCGCUUAUGCUAUUUUACCUACGCUUAGGAUGUUGACACACGCGCGUGCUCG
rnacentral:rRNA from 1 species